UACGUAGGAGGCGAGCGUUGUCCGGAUUUACUGGGCGUAAAGGGCGCGUAGGCGGUCAGCACAAGUCAGUUGUGAAAUCUCCGAGCUUAACUCGGAAAGGUCAACUGAAACUGUGCGACUAGAGUGCGGAAGGGGCAACUGGAAUUCUUGGUGUAGCGGUGAAAUGCGUAGAUAUCAAGAGGAACACCUGCGGCGAAGGCGGGUUGCUGGGCCGACACUGACGCUGAAGCGCGAAAGCUAGGGGAGCGAACGGG
rnacentral:rRNA from 1 species